rnacentral:rRNA from 1 species
UAGGGAAUCUUCCGCAAUGGGCGAAAGCCUGACGGAGCAACGCCGCGUGAGUGAUGAAGGCCUUCGGGUUGUAAAACUCUGUCUUCUGUGAAGAACAAGCCUGUGAGUGGAAAGCUCAGGCCUUGACGGUAACAGAGGAGGAAGCCCCGGCUAACUACGUGCCAGCAGCCGCGGUAAUACGUAGGGGGCAAGCGUUGUCCGGAAUCACUGGGCGUAAAGCGCGCGCAGGCGGCGAUCUGCGUCUGGGGUGAAAGCCCGGAGCUCAACUCCGGGAUUGCCUUGGAUACGGGGUCGCUUGAGGAUCGGAGAGGCAAGGGGAAUUCCACGUGUAGCGGUGAAAUGCGUAGAGAUGUGGAGGAACACCUGUGGCGAAGGCGCCUUGCUGGCCGAUUUCUGACGCUGAGGCGCGAAAGCGUGGGGAGCAAACA